rnacentral:rRNA from 1 species
CUCGCCAGGAGACAACGAGCCCUAGCUUAAAACCCAAAGGACUUGGCGGUGCUUUAAACCCCUCUAGAGGAGCCUGUUCUAUAAUCGAUACCCCCCGUUCAACCUCACCCCCCCUUGUUUAAUCCGCCUAUAUACCGCCGUCGUCAGUACACCCUGUGAAGGGCCCAUAGUGAGCAUAAUUGGUCAGAACCUAAAACGUCAGGUCAACGUGUAGCGUACGGGGGGGAAAGAAAUGGGCUACAUUUGCUGAGUCAGCAAAUUACCAAUAUUGAAAUGAAAACACAGUUGAAGGAGGAUUUAGCAGUAAGAGGGGAGCAGAGUGCCCCCCUGAAGACGGCCCUAAAGCGCGCACACACCGCCCGUCACUCCCCCCAAUAGUUCCAGGAGCAUAAGUAAUGGAGCACUAGAAAUCAAGGGGGGACAAGUCGUAACAUGGUAAGUGUACCGGAAGGUGCACUUGGACAACCC